rnacentral:rRNA from 1 species
AAAACUUUUAACAACGGAUCUCUUGGUUCUGGCAUCGAUGAAGAACGCAGCGAAGUGCGAUAAGUAAUGUGAAUUGCAGAAUUCAGUGAAUCAUCGAAUCUUUGAACGCACAUUGCGCCCGCCAGCAUUCUGGCGGGCAUGCCUGUUCGAGCGUCAUU